ensembl:rRNA 5S_rRNA 5S ribosomal RNA
GUCUACGGCCAUACCACCCUGAACAUACCCAAUCUCUUCUAAUUUCAGAAGCUAAGUGGAGUCAGACCUGGUUAGUACUUGGAUGAGAAACUGCCUGCGAAUACCGGGUGCUGCAGUCU